GGCGCCGUGGCUUAGUUGGCCAAAGCGCCUGUCUAGUAAACAGGAGAUCCUGGGUUCAAAUUUUUUUUUCCCAUAGCCA